ensembl:lncRNA
GUUCUUCCCUGCCUUCAACGCGCUUUGCCUGUGUGAGAAUGCACUGCAGCUAAUAAUGUGUCGGUGCACACACACACACACACACACACACACACACACACACACACACUCACACACACCUCCUGAUCCAUUUGUGCUCUGUCCCCUCAUUAUCUACAAAGUAUGCAGGUUCACAUAAUAAAGCUAGCCUAGAUGCUAAUGAUCUUUUAUAUAUAGGCCACAUGGGAGUGUUAGUGUGUGUGUGUGUGUGUGUGUGUGUGUGUCUGUGUGCCCGGUGAAUCUAUGAGGAAAGUCUGGAUUAUUACCAUCAAUUGUUUUCUGUCUGUACAAUCUUUUUUUUCCACAGACAAAGGAAUACAUUAAAGUCUGAAAGGUCUUUAUAGUCAAUUUAUAAAAGUUCAAGACCGCCCUGUUUUUUCGUCUUUUCCCAUGCUUUUAACAGAAUACAUUCACAUUUUGAAAAGGAAAGAUCAUUUAUUUCCUUUAAAACAUGGGAGUGCACCACUCACCAUCCAUCAGACAAUGUCAUUUCAAAAGCCUGUCUGAUAUUAUGGCCUCCUCUGCUCCUCCUCAUGGCUCCUCUCCCCGCAUGGGUCGAGAUGAACGGUGUAGUUAUAAACGCAUGGGUCGAGAUGAACGUGUAGUUAUAAACGCAUGGGUCGAGAUGAACGGUGUAGUUAUAAACGCAUGGGUCGAGAUGAACGUGUAGUUAUAAACGUAUGGGUCGACAUGAACGGUGUAGUUAUAAACGCAUGGGUCGAGAUGAACGGUGUAGUUAUAAACGCAUGGGUCGAGAUGAACGGUGUAUAGUUAUAAACGCAUGGGUCGAGAUGAACGUGUAGUUAUAAACGCAUGGGUCGAGAUGAACGUGUAGUAAUAAACGCAUGGGUCGAGAUGAACGUGUAGUUAUAAACGCAUGGGUCGAGAUGAACGGUGUAGUUAUAAACGCAUGGGUCGAGAUGAACAAUGUAGUUAUAAACGCAUGGGUCGACAUGAACGUGUAAUUAUAAACGCAUGGGUCGAGACGGCUGUCUGAGGGAACAAGACGUAGGCCUGAAAGCUCAUCCCUUUCCAUUCAUUGUAGCAUGAGGACAUUUUAGCCACAAUUCUAUGUUCAAAAUAUUGUUUAAUUAUAUAGGUUUUAUUUGUGGGUCACAUUAUUUUGGGUGGGCACGUGCCCACCCUGAGUCAGUGGGCGUGACGCCGCGUGAAUGCUUCAACCAUUUCCUUAUUCCUUAGUGACCGCAUUUGUAGACAGAACGUUUUGCACAAACCCAUGGUUGGGCCACACAGGGUGUCUUUAUGUUGUGCCAUGUGAUCUUUAUGUCUUGGGGGAGAUGGAGUAACAUCACGUUUGACAUGAGGACACAGUGAGGGGAGAUGGGUGCAGGAUGGAUGAAGGUUUGUGUGUAGUUAAGGUGUGUGUGUGUGUGUGAAGGUUUGUGUGUAGGUAAGGUGAGUGUGUGUGUGUGUGUGUGUGUGUGUGAAGGUUCGUGUGUAGGUAAGGUGAGUGUGUGUGUGUGUGUGUGUGUGAAGGUUUGUGUGUAGGUAAGGUGAGUGUGUGUGUGUGUGAAGGUUUGUGUGUAGGUAAGGUGAGUGUGUGUGUGUGUGUGUGAAGGUUUGUGUGUAGGUAAGGUGAGUGCCGUCUCAGACUACUGGGCUGAAAGCAUCGGAGGAUUACUUCAUACACACACACACACACACACACACACACACACACACACAGACACACACACACACACACACACACAGACGCACACACACACACACUCACACACACACACACACACACACACACACACACAGACACACACACACACACACACACAUGCAUCGGAGGAUUACUUCUGCUUCUUUUAAACGUCACCAUAGCAACCGACGUGUUUGGGUUUUUUUCCUGGCUGAAGACAUGAACAAGGAGAGUGCUUCCGUUCACUGAAGAAGGUGAACACACACACACACACACACACACACACUCAUGAAGAAGGAGAGUGCUUCCGUUCACUGAAAAAUUGAGAAUUAAAGUUUGAGAAUUAUAUGCCAGAAUGAGGACAGCAAAUACUUAUACCCACCGCAUACCCUGCACACACACACACACACACACACACAAACCCUGGUCCCAGGGGCAACGCACACACAAACACACACACACACGCACACACCCUGGUCCCAGGGGCAACGCACACACAAACACACACACACACACACACAAACACACACACACACACACAAACACCCUGGUCCCACACACACACAAACACACACACACACACACACACACACACACACCCUGGUCCCAUACACACACACACACACGCACACAAACACACACACACCCUGGUCCCACAAACACACACACACACACACACACACACACCCUGGUCGCACACACACACACACACACACACACCCUGGUCCCACACUUCAAAUCCACAGGGAUCAUUCCAUACGCUACUCACACACGCCAUUCACUCCAUAAAAAACCCUAACUUUGAAAGUAAACCUACACCCACAGAAUAUGCAUUAAAAGACUACUCUUAAGCUGACAAAAACACACACACACACACACACACACACACACACACACACACACACACACACACACACACACACACAUCCGGAAGGCCACACACGAUAAUCAGAGGAUUACGGUUCAGCCCCUGACGAUCUCCUCUUCCCUCCUGGAGGCUGCUGGGUAAUUGAGAUGGGGAUCUUCACUCUCACUUUUUCAUUUAGCCGCCGCCUCGUCCCCAUCCAGGCGGAAUGUUCUGGUUCCUCUGUGUAAUCCCCUCCUGGAGCCUGAUGUGUGUGUGUGUGUGUGUGUGUGUGUGUGUGAGUGAAUGUGUGUGUGUGUGUGUGUGUGUGUGUGUGUGUGUGUGUGUGUGUGUGUGUGUGUGUGUGUGUGUGUGUGUGUGCGCCCGCCUGAUUAGCUUGAUAAUUAACUCUUUGAGGCUCAGUCCGCCGCAGGCUAACGCUUAAAGAAAAAAAGAAAAGAAAAAGGCAUGGUGUUUCACUUUACCCAGGUAGGGCAGUCAGCUGUGUGUCGGACGUCCACCGGAACCGCGUCGGAUGAGGGUCGGGACCGAUCCGGGGUCUGAUACGCUGCGUUGGUUUUCCCUUACACGUUGUUCCGGCUGGUGUUGUCACGACAACGGAAAGUGCUGCUAAUCUUGUAAUCCAAAAAUGACUCUGUGUUCCUGUGGAUCUAAUUAGGACUUAAUAUUGAGACCUGCACUGGGCUGGGAGGCACUGUGUGUGUGUGUGUGUGUGUGUGUGUGUGUGUGUGUGUGUGUGUGUUAAUAUUUGCCUUUCCUUUCCAUUGAAGCCCCAAAGUAAGUGAUAUCCUAAAGACAUGUUUGUGUUUGUUUGUCCGUGUGUGUGUGUGGUGUGUGUGUGUGUGUGUGUGUGUGUGUGUGUGUGUGUGUGUGUGUGUGUGUGUGUGUGUGAAUAUUUGCCAUUCCUUUCCAUUGAAGCCCCAAAGUAAGUGAUAUCCUAAAGACAUGUUUGUGUUUGUUUGUCCGUGUGUGUGUGUAUGUGUGUGUGCCCAAAAGCCUGUGUGUGUGUGUGUGUGUGUAUGUGUGUGUGUGUCCUAUUAAGCCAUGUUAGGCAUGCAUGUCCACUACCCUGUCUAGACAUCAUAAGUGUCUUGUAAAAGUCCCAGGGUGCCGGAACAAGCUGAGUCAUUUGCUAAUCCUUCUGAAAACAAUCAUCGACACACACACACCCACACACACACACACACACACACAGGCUUUUGGGCAUUAGCAAAAUGAACAGCAAAACCACGCUGGUCACCCUUUCACCUUGCAGUUUAGAGAGAGCGAGAAAAAAGAGAAAAUGACACGGCACAGUAAAUAUGCAUUCAAGCUUUUUGCACAUGCCUUAAGCACACACACACACACACACACACACACACACACACACACACACACACAUGCCUUAAGCAUCUCAUUCUUUUCACAUGGGCUCGUUUUUUUAUUAUUUCCAAUUUGAGAUUAAAGGCUUAUGUGAUUAUUCAUUGCUAAUAUCAUCACAAUAUUUAGAGACUUAAAGGA